CCAGUAAACGGCGGCCGUAACUAUAACGGUCCUAAGGUAGCGAAAUUCCUUGUCGGGUAAGUUCCGACCCGCACGAAAGGCGUAACGAUUUGGGCACUGUCUCAACGAGAGACUCGGUGAAAUCAUAGUACCUGUGAAGAUGCAGGUUACCCGCGACAGGACGGAAAGACCCCGUGGAGCUUUACUGUAGCCUGAUAUUGAAAUUCGGCACAGCUUGUACAGGAUAGGUAGGAGCCUUUGAAACGUGAGCGCUAGCUUACGUGGAGGCGUUGGUGGGAUACUACCCUAGCUGUGUUGGCUUUCUAACCCGCACCACUUAUCGUGGUGGGAGACAGUGUCAGGCGGGCAGUUUGACUGGGGCGGUCGCCUCCUAAAAGGUAACGGAGGCGCUCAAAGGUUCCCUCAGAAUGGUUGGAAAUCAUUCAUAGAGUGUAAAGGCAUAAGGGAGCUUGACUGCGAGACCUACAAGUCGAGCAGGGUCGAAAGACGGACUUAGUGAUCCGGUGGUUCCGCAUGGAAGGGCCAUCGCUCAACGGAUAAAAGCUACCCCGGGGAUAACAGGCUUAUCUCCCCCAAGAGUUCACAUCGACGGGGAGGUUUGGCACCUCGAUGUCGGCUCAUCGCAUCCUGGGGCUGUAGUCGGUCCCAAGGGUUGGGCUGUUCGCCCAUUAAAGCGGUACGCGAGCUGGGUUCAGAACGUCGUGAGACAGUUCGGUCCCUAUCCGUCGUGGGCGUAGGAAAUUUGAGAGGAGCUGUCCUUAGUACGAGAGGACCGGGAUGGACAUACCUCUGGUGUACCAGUUGUCGUGCCAACGGCAUAGCUGGGUAGCUAUGUAUGGACGGGAUAAGUGCUGAAAGCAUCUAAGCAUGAAGCCCCCCUCAAGAUGAGAUUUCCCAACUUCGGUUAUAAGAUCCCUCGAAGAUGACGAGGUUAAUAGGUUCGAGGUGGAAGCGUGGUGACACGUGGAGCUGACGAAUACUAAUCGAUCGAAGACUUAAUCAAUUUUUUAAA
rnacentral:rRNA from 1 species